UACGAAGGGGGCUAGCGUUGUUCGGAAUUACUGGGCGUAAAGCGCACGCAGGCGGUGGUCAUAGUCAGAAGUGAAAGCCCUGGGCUCAACCCGGGAAUUGCUUUUGAUACUGGACCGCUAGAAUCACGGAGAGGGUAGUGGAAUUCCGAGUGUAGAGGUGAAAUUCGUAGAUAUUCGGAAGAACACCAGUGGCGAAGGCGACUACCUGGCCGUCGAUUGACGCUCAUGUGCGAAAGCGUGGGGAGCAAAC
rnacentral:rRNA from 1 species